AUGAACGCUGGCGGCGUGCUUUACACAUGCAAGUCGAGCGAGGCCGGGGAGCAAUCCCCGAGUCGAGCGGCGAACGGGUGAGUAACGCGUGGGUGACCUGCCUUCUGGUGGGGGAUAACCCGGGGAAACCCGGGCUAAUACCGCAUAAGAUCGAGAGAUGAAAGUGGGCCGCAAGGCUCACGCCGGAAGAGGGGCCCGCGUCCGAUUAGCUAGUUGGUGAGGUGAUGGCUCACCAAGGCGACGAUCGGUAGCCGGCCUGAGAGGGUGAUCGGCCACACUGGAACUGAGACACGGUCCAGACUCCUACGGGAGGCAGCAGUGGGGAAUUUUGCGCAAUGGGGGAAACCCUGACGCAGCAACGCCGCGUGGAGGAUGAAGGUCUUCGGAUUGUAAACUCCUGUCAGUGGGGAAAAAGGGGAACGUGCUCAUACCACGUUUCAUUGAUUGUACCCGCAGAGGAAGCCCCGGCUAACUCUGU
rnacentral:rRNA from 1 species